rnacentral:rRNA from 1 species
GAUGAACGCUGGCGGCGUGCUUAACACAUGCAAGUCGAACGGAAAGGCCGAAGCUUGCUUCGGUACUCGAGUGGCGAACGGGUGAGUAACGCGUGGGUGAUCUGCCCUGUACUUCGGGAUAAGCUUGGGAAACUGGGUCUAAUACCGGAUAUGACGAUCUCUUGGAUGGGGUUGUGGAAAGCUUUUGCGGUAUGGGAUGAGCUCGCGGCCUAUCAGCUUGUUGGUGGGGUAAUGGCCUACCAAGGCGUCGACGGGUAGCCGGCCUGAGAGGGUGUACGGCCACAUUGGGACUGAGAUACGGCCCAGACUCCUACGGGAGGCAGCAGUGGGGAAUAUUGCACAAUGGGCGCAAGCCUGAUGCAGCGACGCCGCGUGGGGGAUGACGGCCUUCGGGUUGUAAACUCCUUUCGCAAUCGACGAAGCCUUUUGGUGACGGUAGGUUGAGAAGAAGCACCGGCUAACUACGUG